rfam:Oryza rufipogon genomic scaffold, chr04
AAAAAGGCAAACCCUGAAUUUUCGUGUCCAACUUUAACUGUUCGUCUUAUAUAAAAAAUUUUUAUAAUUCGUAUUUUCAUUGUUGUUAGAUGAUAAAAUAUAUUUUUUUUAAUAAGACAGACGGUCAAACGUUGGGUACGGAAACUAGGAUUUGCCUUUUUU